rnacentral:rRNA from 1 species
UACGAAGGGGGCUAGCGUUGUUCGGAAUUACUGGGCGUAAAGCGUGCGCAGGCGGCUUCUCAAGUCAGGGGUGAAGGCCCAGAGCUCAACUCUGGAACUGCCUUUGAGACUGAGAGGCUUGAGUACGGGAGAGGUGAGUGGAAUUCCCAGUGUAGAGGUGAAAUUCGUAGAUAUUGGGAAGAACACCGGUGGCGAAGGCGGCUCACUGGCCCGAAACUGACGCUCAUGCACGACAGCGUGGGGAUCAAACAGG